GAUGAACGCUAGCUACAGGCUUAACACAUGCAAGUCGAGGGGAAACGAUAGAGAAAGCUUGCUUUUUCUAGGCGUCGACCGGCGCACGGGUGAGUAACGCGUAUCCAACCUGCCCAUCACUUGGGGAUAACCUUGCGAAAGUAAGACUAAUACCCAAUGACGUCUCUAGAAGACAUCUGAAAGAGAUUAAAGAUUUAUCGGUGAUGGAUGGGGAUGCGUCUGAUUAGCUUGUUGGCGGGGUAACGGCCCACCAAGGCGACGAUCAGUAGGGGUUCUGAGAGGAAGGCCCCCCACAUUGGAACUGAGACACGGUCCAAACUCCUACGGGGGGCAGCAGUGAGGAAUAUUGGUCAAUGGACGAGAGUCUGAACCAGCCAAGUAGCGUGCAGGAUGACGGCCCUAUGGGUUGUAAACUGCUUUUAUAAGGGAAUAAAGUGAGUCUCGUGAGACUUUUUGCAUGUACCUUAUGAAUAAGGACCGGCUAAUUCCGUGCCAGCAG
rnacentral:rRNA from 1 species